CCAUAUCAUUCUCUCAUUCAUCAUCUUCACCUUCUCCUUCAAUCUUUCUCUCUUUCUCUCUCUAACCCCCUUGAAGAUAGGCGAGUCUCUUGGGGGAAAAAGAGAGAGAGAGAGAGGGGUGAGGAAUAGAAGAAACAAAACACAGAACUAGACAGACUCUAGCUUUGCUUGUAAAAACUACAAGGCGAGUCCAUGGAUGUGGAGCUUUUGCUUUUUUGAGGGGAAUGUUGUCUGGCUCGAGGACCCUUUUCCUUGAAAGAUCUGUAAUCCUAUAGAUCAAUCUUUAUAUCUGUAUAUAUUGAUCAUGACUUUUUGGUGGAGUUAGUGUCGUCGGACCAGGCUUCAUUCCCCCCAAUUUUACAGCUUCCACAGUCCACAGAGCUUAGCUUUUUCCUCCAUGGCAUAGACUUCUCCAGAUUGGUGUAAUGAUGGACUCAUUUGACUAUAAAAAGGAUUUCAUCAUUUGCCGACUUUUUCAUUCGUGCUCAUGAUGAUGAUCAAAUUAUGAUGAGGAUGAUGCGGUUUUUGUCAGUCUUAAGCCAAAUUUCCACUAUCUGAUCUGUCUGUUCUGCAAUUGUUUUCUUUUUUUUUGCUUUUUUCUUUUUUCUUUUCAUCAGAUCUGAUCUGGUCUGCCAUGGCCUCCUCCUUUAACUUUGGUAAAUGUUCUUUCCUCUCUUUCACGUUCUGCUAGCUAGCUACCUCUCUCUCUUAGGGUUUCGUAGUCUAGAUUGAGGCUCUGUUAAUAUCUAAAAUAAAUGUGCUGAAUAAUUGUAUCACUAAUAAGCCUUUGCUUAGAUGAGCAAGCAAGGAAGUGGCAGCCUUUCUGACACUGUUUGAAAUGCUAUUUUUCAUUGUUUAAUUGUAUAUACAUAUAGCUACUGCAUCAUCCUUAAUCUCGUAUCUGAUUCUGAAUGAUAAUAUAUAUAUGCGAAGUAUAUCAUAAAGAAUAUAUAGUACUAUUCUACUCAACUAGUUUGCAGAUGUCACUACAUUUAUACGUUCGGCUUUAGCUAGCUUGUUCAGUAAUGCCUUACACAUCUCUUUAUGCCUUGAAGUACUUGCAUUUCUUUCAAAAUGUGAUUCAAGCAAAAGACAAAUGUAACUUUGGGGAAAUGAGUGUGUGUGAAAACCUAGAUGCUUAUCUUUUCAUUAUUGUCUUAUCAAUAGGGUGUUAAUUCAAAACCCUGGUCUUGUUCAUCUUGGGUACUAAAUGCAUUUCUCCUCUUUUGCUCUCCUGGAUCUAUGUCCAUUUGAAUUAUUGUUUGUGUUUGUGUUAGCUUAAAAAGCUUAUAACCAUAACCGAAAACCAAAGUUGAGCUAGUCAACAAAUGGAGCAUUGUGCAGGAAAACCAAGAUGGAUGCUUCAACAAGUUAGGGUCACUUGAUGGUUUAGUUGUUUCUUAAUCAUUCUACUAUGUCAUUUGUAUCCGAGCUUUGCUUCUGCAUUAGGGAUACAGGACAACUUCUCAAAUGAAUACAGAGGUCUUGAAAACAAGGUUGAUAAUAUAUAAUAAGGUCUGGAAAAAGGGGUUGUUUUUCCUUCCGGUUUAAAACACUGUAACUUACUAGCUUACUCUAACAAUCUUACAGAGACACAUUAAUAUUCAGAUGCUUGGGAAUGAUGAUUGAUCAAACAAGUGGUCUCCUAAAGUCACUAUUUCAAGAUUUUUUUACUUUUCCUAUUACAUUACCAGUUUUUGGAAAAGGUCCAUCUAUGUAAAAGCAGCAAGUUUGGACUUGAGGAAGCAAUCUCAAAUGCUAGCAACUAUUCCCUUGUCCUUCUUGUACUAGUAAUGAGUGCAUUUUGAGUUUUAUGAAAUCCACUUUCUUGUUUGAAUUACAUAAAUGUAGGUGUUUAUGCUUUUCUUUCACUAUCUUUUUUUUUUUUUUUUACUCUUCUUGAUGGUCGUUGUAAAUUUAUUUCCAGUAUGAGAUUACUGUAUUACAGAUUGCUGUAAAGACUAAAAGCUCCUUUUGGGAAAUUGGAUCUUUUUGACCUCUGGAACUUAUAAAGCAGAAAAAGCUUUAUUGCUUUCUUUUUGCCCAUGAUUUUCCUCACAGAGUGACAAAGGGAGGAGACAGAGGUCGAUUAAUUGGGUGAGAGCUUUAGCUUUAUGCAUGGCCACAACUUUCAAUGAGUGUAUAAUUGUGGUGUGAUUGUUCCACUUGACCAAGACUGGAUCACUGGAGAGUGAAGACUCCCUGAUUAAUUAACUAAAGCCUAGCUUUUGAAUCAGGGUUUGGGAUAAUUGUUCCUAUUAAUUAGAUGAGAUAGAUGCAUUGGAAUUUUGGGCUAUUGGUCCUAGGGCAUGGGAAGCUGUAAAUAGCUCUCCAUACUCAUUGGUAGGCUAACAAAACUGUGUAAUCAUCUAUAGCUAUAGCUAUAGCUAGCUAGGCCCUUGGCUCCUAGCUAAGCUAGUACAUUGAGGAUCCAAGGCAACUUAAUUUGGUUGGUUCUGAUGGAGUUGUGCUUGUAGCUGAGAUUUGACUUAAAAUUUUGAAUGGCAAUGUGAUCAGCUUCAUUGUUAAUUUAAUAUUCAAAUUGUGAAUCA